CAGACGACGGAGCAGGGAUUUUGUCCUGCUCUUCGACACAGAGUCCCAGGAGGCCCCGCGCAGGGCUCUUGUCUCCUCCGGGUCACAGGGUUGUUUUCUGACCUUAGAGCACCGGGGGUUCAGCACUGGACUUACAUCAUUUCCUAGUUUUUAGAAAACCUUUAACCACCCUGCCUCUGGGGCAGGGAGCUCCCGGUGGCAGCCGGCCAAUAGCCGGGCCCACAGCGGGUCUGAUCGCCAUGACGGUGAGGACAGGGACCCCAUCCGUCCAGUACCAGUGCCAGGAGCGUGCUGUUUAGGCCUUUUGACAAUGCAGGGGAGAAAGAACCACCUUCUCCACGUUACAGGCGGAUAAACAGAAGCUUUACAAGGGGAUUUGGAAAUGCACUGGCUGAUACAGGGGCCAGCAGCCACAUGUGGCCUUUGAAAAGUGACUGGCCUGAGGGCACCAGGGUGACUCAGUCAGUCAAACAUCCGACUCUUGAUUGCACCUCAGGUCAUGAGCUCACGGUUCACGAAUUCAAGCCCCGCAUCGGGCUCUGUGCUGACAGCACGGAGCCUGCUUGGGAUUCUCUGUCUCCCUCUGUCCCUCCCCCACCCCUAAAUAAUUAAAAAUAAAAACAUUUUGAAAUGUG